rnacentral:rRNA from 1 species
UGCCAGCCGCCGCGGUAAGACGGAGGGUGCAAACGUUGUUCGGAAUUACUGGGCAUAAGGCGCACGUAGGCGGCCAGAUAAGUCCGGUGUGAAAGCCCCCGGCUCAACCGGGGAACUGCAUCGGAUACUGUUUGGCUCGAGGACGGUUGGGGUGAGUGGAACUCCUGGUGGAGCGGUGAAAUGCGUAGAUAUCAGGAGGAACACCAGUGGCGAAAGCGGCUCACUGGACCGUAUCUGACGCUGGGGUGCGAAAGCUAGGGUAGCGAACGGGAUUAGAUA